AAUUUUGGACAAUGGGGGAAACCCUGAUCCAGCCAUCCCGCGUGUAUGAUGAAGGCCUUCGGGUUGUAAAGUACUUUUGGCAGAGAAGAAAAGGUACCUCCUAAUACGAGGUACUGCUGACGGUAUCUGCAGAAUAAGCACCGGCUAACUACGUGCCAGCAGCCGCGGUAAUACGUAGUGUGCAAGCGUUAAACGGAAUUACUGGGCGUAAAGCGGGGUGAAGCGGUUCGGAAAGAAAGAUGGGAAAACCCAGGGGUCAACCUUGGAACUGCAUUUUUAACUGCCGAGCUAGAGUAUGUCAGAGGGGGGUAGAAUUCCACGUGUAGCAGUGAAAUGCGUAGAUAUGUGGAGGAAUACCAAUGGCGAAGGCAGCCCCCUGGGAUAAUACUGACGCUCAGACACGAAAGCGUGGGGAGCAAACAG
rnacentral:rRNA from 1 species